GACGAACGCUGGCGGCGUGCUUAACACAUGCAAGUCGAACGGUGAACCUCUUCGGAGGGGCUCAGUGGCGAACGGGUGAGUAACACGUGGGCAACCUGCCCCCGGCUCUGGGAUAACUCCAAGAAAUUGGGGCUAAUACCGGAUGUUCACCGCUUCCCGCAUGGGAGGUGGUGGAAAGGGUUUCCGGCUGGGGAUGGGCCCGCGGCCUAUCAGCUUGUUGGUGGGGUAGUGGCCUACCAAGGCGACGACGGGGAGCCGGCCGGAGAGGGUGACCGGCCACCAUGGGACGGAGACACGGCCCAGAGGACUAGGGGAGGCAGCAGGAGGGAAGCGUAGGCAAUGGAGGGAAGGCUGAGCGAGCAACGCCGAGGGAGGGAAGAAGGGGUUCGGAUCGGAAAGCUCGGUUGUAAGAGAAGAAAGAGUGGGAGAGUGGAAAGUUCAAACGGGGACGGUAUCUGACCAGAAAGGGACGGCUAACUACGUG
rnacentral:rRNA from 1 species